GAUGAACGCUGGCGGCGUGCCUAAUACAUGCAAGUCGAGCGAACGGACGAGAAGCUUGCUUCUCUGAUGUUAGCGGCGGACGGGUGAGUAACACGUGGAUAACCUACCUAUAAGACUGGGAUAACUUCGGGAAACCGUAGCUAAUACCGGAUAAUAUUUUGAACCGCAUGGUUCAAAAGUGAAAGACGGUCUUGCUGUCACUUAUAGAUGGAUCCGCGCUGCAUUAGCUAGUUGGUAAGGUAACGGCUUACCAAGGCAACGAUGCAUAGCCGACCUGAGAGGGUGGUCGGCCACACUGGAACUGAGACACGGUCCAGACUCCUGCGGGAGGCAGCAGUAGGGAAUCUUCCGCAAUGGGCGAAAGCCUGACGGAGCAACGCCGCGUGAGUGAUGAAGGUCUUCGGAUCGUAAAACUCUGUUAUUAGGGAAGAACAUAUGUGUAAGUAACUGUGCACAUCUUGACGGUACCUAAUCAGAAAGCCACGGCUAACUACGUG
rnacentral:rRNA from 1 species